AUGAUAUAAGAACUAACAAUUCCACACUGUAAAUUGAAUAGAAUGUUUACUAGAUUCGCCUUUUCAUCUGUGCUAGCAACAGUUCCAGAACUAGAACCCUCUCAACAAAGGUUCUAGCUCAGGACAGUUUCUAGCCCAGAUGAAAAGGUAUAUCAUGUACGUAGCAAACAUUAUGUUCAAUUUACGGUGUAGAAUUGUUUGUUGUUAUUUCAG